rnacentral:rRNA from 1 species
GACGAACGCUGGCGGCGGGCUUAACACAUGCAAGUCGAACGGAAAGGCCCUGCUUGUGUGGGGUGCUCGAGUGGCGAACGGGUGAGUAACACGUGAGUAACCUGCCCUGGACUUUGGGAUAACUUCAGGAAACUGGGGCUAAUACCGGAUAGGAGCUCCUGCUGCAUGGUGGGGGUUGGAAAGUUUCGGCGGUGGGGGAUGGACUCGCGGCUUAUCAGCUUGUUGGUGGGGUAGUGGCUUACCAAGGCUUUGACGGGUAGCCGGCCUGAGAGGGUGACCGGCCACAAUGGGACUGAGAUACGGCCCAGACUCCUACGGGAGGCAGCAGUGGGGAAUAUUACACAAUGGGCGGACGCCUGAUGAAGCAGCGCCGCGUGCGGGAUGACGGCCUUCGGGUUGUAAACCGCUUUCGCCUGUGACGAAGCGUGAGUGACGGUAAUGGGUAAAGAAGCACCGGCUAACUACGUG